rnacentral:tRNA from 1 species
AGUUAUAUAGUUUAAAAUAAAACAUUAAUUUUGUAAAUUAAGAAUAAAAUAAAUUUUUUAUAACUU